UAAACGACUCUCGACAACGGAUAUCUCGGCUCUCGCAUCGAUGAAGAACGUAGCGAAAUGCGAUACUUGGUGUGAAUUGCAGAAUCCCGCGAACCAUCGAGUCUUUGAACGCAAGUUGCGCCCGAAGCCAUUAGGUUGAGGGCACGUCUGCCUGGGCGUCUCAC
rnacentral:rRNA from 1 species